rnacentral:tRNA from 1 species
GGAGCUAUAGCUCAGUGGCAGAGCACUUGCCUUGCAUGUGUGAGGCACUGGGUUCGAUCCCUAGCAUCA